rnacentral:snoRNA from 1 species
UAGCAGCUCUUCCUAAUACAUAGAAACAAACACAAGGAAUUGCACUGGGAUGCGAAAUAAAAAUAUCCCUGGGCUUUCUGUCUGUCUUUGUGGCGGCCCAGAUUGAAUAAGGGACUACAUCU